AUUGAACGCUGGCGGCAGGCUUAACACAUGCAAGUCGAACGAGUGGCGGACGGGUGAGUAAUGCUUGGGAAUCUAGCUUAUGGAGGGGGAUAACUACGGGACACUGUAGCUAAUACCGCGUACCAUAGGAUGAGCCCAAUGGGGAUUAGGUAGUUGGUGAGGUAAAGGCUCACCCAGCCGACGAUAUCUAGCUGGUCUGAGAGGAUGACCAGCCACACUGGGACGGAGACACGGCCCAGACUCCUACGGGAGGCAGCAGUGGGGAAUAUUGCGCAAUGGGGGCAACCCUGACGCAGCCAUGCCGCGUGAAUGAAGAAGGCCUUCGGGUUGUAAAGUUCUUUCGGCGGGGAGGCGUUACCCGCAGAAGAAGCAUCGGCUAACUCCGUGCCAGCAGCCGCGGUAAUAC
rnacentral:rRNA from 1 species